rnacentral:lncRNA from 1 species
GGCCGUUUUUGGCCGAAUUCGGCCACACUUGCAUCGGUCCCUGCGAUAAAACAACCUUAGGGCCCUCGGUGGGCCAAAAAAUCAUACAAAAUCGAAGCUUACCGGCGGCGGUGCUCUCGGGUGUUGUGGCUCUCCGGCGUGAAUCGUGUUUUGGUGAUUUCGCUCCGAUCAACCUGUAGAGAAAAGAACAGUGAUCACAGUGGUAUAAAUU